UACGUAGGGGGGCAAGCGUUGUCCGGAAUCAUUGGGCGUAAAGCGCGUGUAGGCGGCCCGGUAAGUCCGCUGUGAAAGUCGGGGGCUCAACCCUCGAAUGCCGGUGGAUACUGUCGGGCUAGAGUGCGGGAGAGGCGAGUGGAAUUCCUGGUGUAGCGGUGAAAGUGCGCAGAUAUCAGGAGGAACACCAAUUGCGAAGGCAGCUCGCUGGAACGUAACUGACGCUGAGACGCGAAAGCGUGGGAGCAAACAGG
rnacentral:rRNA from 1 species